AUGUUUCGCUUCGUGAAGUUAAUCCUCAUUACAUAUCUCUUUCUUGAACUUCAGUUUCUUCUAUUGAUUGGGAUUAGGAAAGGGAAACUAAAUUUUCUGCUCAUGACUUGUAAGCUGCAGCAAAAGCUUGCAAUUUCUAAUUUCCUAGCCAACCAGGUGCAUUUGUUUCAUGCCUUUCCUAAACUUUUUUAUUUAACUAGCUGUGUUCUUAAUUUUUGUCAUCUCGUAUCAUAUAUUUGUGUACUAGGCGAUGCAUUGUUCUUGGUUUCUCCGUGCGUUCAUUUUGCUGAUGAUGAGGUGUGUACACAAGACAGUGUGGCUCCUCAAUUUAUACACAUGAUCAUAAAUUGUUGGAUUGAAUUGUUGCCUUAUAUGUCAAGUGCUUGUUGUGAGUUCCAAACUUACAGUAGAGAUGGCGUAUUAGCUACCCGAUCUAGAGCCGAAGCUUUGUUGGCGCACGGUAUUUUUUGUAUGGUUAUUGAUUUGCUAGCAUAUAUUCUAGACUAA
rnacentral:rRNA from 1 species